ACUGAGACAAUGAUGAAGACACAACAGGUAGUAUGAGUGAGAUUCAAACCCAGGUCUACAUAAUGGCAGGCCAGCUUCUUAUCCACUGAGCAACCUGCUC